AUUGAACGCUGGCGGCCGGCCUAACACAUGCAAGUCGAGCGGAGCGGCGGACGGGUAAGUAAUGCCUAGGAAUAUGCCUGGUAGUGGUGGAUAACGUCCGGAAAAGGGCGCUAAUAUCGCAUACUAUCAGGUGAGCCUAGGUCGGAUUAGCUAGUUGGUGGGGUAAAGGCCUAACAGGGCGACGAUCCGUAACUGGUCUGAGAGGAGGAUCAGUCACACUGGAACUGAGACACGGUCCAGACUCCUACGGGAGGCAGCAGGGGGGAAUAUUGGAGAAUGGGAGAAGGCCUGAUCCAGCCAGGCCGCGUGUGUGAAGAAAGUCUUCGGAUUGUAAAGUACUUUAAGUUGUGAGGCGUUACCUACAGAAUAAGCACCGGCUAACUACGUGCCAGAAGCCGCGGUAAUUC
rnacentral:rRNA from 1 species